CUCCGGCGCUGCGACGAGCCGCUGUUGCUCCGUCUAAUGUCCUCCAGUGACUCACCACCUGCGCCUCCUCUACGCCCCGCACAUGUGCUGGACAGCAACCCUAGCCGUGGCUAGGUUGCUGGCGUGUUCCGGCUGCUGCACCUCCUGUGGCUCCACCUCCCCGUUCUUGGUCUGAUGUUGAUGUGACGAUGUUGUGAGGUGAUGUGGUUUUGGAUGGGCUCCUAAUGGCUCUACUCGUGUGGAUGGGUGGCGAUGCUGCUGGUCAUGUGUUGACUACCGUCUCGAUGCCGGCGGAACGGCCACUGGUGUGCAACCCCGGCGUCCGUGUACUGGUGGAGCUGUGCUGUGCGGUUGCGACUACUAGUGUGUAACCUCGACGCCGGUUGGACGGUGUCGCCGACGCAACCCCGGCAUCAACUACAUCAUCUACUACCCCUACUGCAAUGAAGAAAGGAUAAGAAAAUUGGGAAGAUUUGGAAUAUGAAGAUUUAGUUUAGAAAUUUCUUGUAUUCUUUUGUAAUUUUCUAUUUCUUUUCUAACUUGUAAUUUGUUGAAUAAUGUUAUUUGUAAUAAAGUUUAACUCAUUUAUUCAUUUGUAAUUAUCAAAUGUAUUUACUUUUACAUAUUAUAUUUAUAUACUUGUUUAGAUUUCAAA